GGAUCCAGACUUUGAUCCUGGCUCAGGAUGAACGCUAGCUACAGGCUUAACACAUGCAAGUCGAGGGGAAACGAUAUUGGAAGCUUGCUUCCGAUAGACGUCGACCGGCGCACGGGUGAGUAACGCGUAUCCAACCUGCCCAUCAUUUGGGGAUAACCUUGCGAAAGUAAGACUAAUACCCAAUGAUAUCUCUAGAAGACAUCUGAAAGAGAUUAAAGAUUUAUCGGUGAUGGAUGGGGAUGCGUCUGAUUAGCUUGUUGGCGGGGUAACGGCCCACCAAGGCGACGAUUAGUAGGGGUUCUGAGAGGAAGGUCCCCCACAUUGGAACUGAGACACGGUCCAAACUCCUACGGGAGGCAGCAGUGAGGAAUAUUGGUCAAUGGGCGAGAGCCUGAACCAGCCAAGUAGCGUGCAGGAUGACGGCCCUAUGGGUUGUAAACUGCUUUUAUAAGGGAAUGAAGUGAGCCUCGUGAGGCUUUUUGCAUGUACCUUAUGAAUAAGGACCGGCUAAUUCCGUGCAGCAGCCGCGGUAAUACGGAAGGUCCGGGCGUUAUCCGGAUUUAUUGGGUUUAAAGGGAGCGUAGGCCGGAGAUUAAGCGUGUUGUGAAAUGUAGAUGCUCAACAUCUGCACUGCAGCGCGAACUGUUUUCCUUGUGUACGCACAAAGUGGGCGGAAUUCGUGGUGUAGCGGUGAAAUGCUUAGAUAUCACGAAGAACUCCGAUUGCGAAGGCAGCUCACUGGAGCGCAACUGACGCUGAAGCUCGAAAGUGCGGGUAUCGAACAGG
rnacentral:rRNA from 1 species